CAAUAGCGUAUAUUAAAGUUGUUGCAGUUAAAAAGCUCGUAGUUGGAUUUCGGGGCAGCCUGGCUGGUCCGCCGCAAGGCGAGUACUGGUCAGCCGCCCUUCCUCUCGAAAGCCCCGACUGCUCUUUAUUGCAGUGGUCGGGUAGUUCGGGACGUUUACUUUGAAAAAAUUAGAGUGUUCAAUGCAGGCCUACGCCUGAAUACAUUAGCAUGGAAUAAUGGAAGAGGACCUCGGUCCUAUUUUGUUGGUUUCCAGGACCGAAGUAAUGAUUAAGAGGGACAGUUGGGGGCAUUCGUAUUUAAUUGUCAGAGGUGAAAUUCUCGGAUUUAUGAAAGACGAACAACUGCGAAAGCAUUUGCCAAGGAUGUUUUCAUUAA
rnacentral:rRNA from 1 species